GGAUCCCGUAACGCCGGGAUCACGCCCUGAGCCGAAGGCAGACGCCUAACCGCUGUGCCACCCAGGCGCCCCGGGAAUAAUAGUUUUUAAAUUACAUUUGGAAAUAGAAGUUUAUAAAUUACAGAAUGCCAGUCUCAAAGAAGCCAGUCUUACCAGACCAAGUAAGGUUUUCAUGAUGCAUCAGCUCGGUAAUAUUCAUACUGACGUGGAAAAUCAAACUUUCAUUUGAAUGUUAUCUUAUGUACAUACUUACAGAGGUAUGUUUACCUUGGGGACAAAGUCUGGCUGGCUGUAAAUAGCUACACCUUUUCCCCAAAGCCUGCGGGGAUUUAAUUUUAGUAAUGUGAAAGGGCUGCGUGGUUACUUGCUAUUGUUGUUUGUAUGUUGUAACAGCCGACCUAAAUAAUCUGGUAUUCUGUUCUCCCCCAACAAGGAAAAUAAGGCACAUAUAGCCGCAUGUAUGCAUAAAUCUCACAUGGACUCAACAAUGUUGACUGGGUUUUCCUUGACCAGUUUCACCGAAUGAUUGACAAAUCACCAACCCUGCGCUCUGUGCUUAGCUCGAGUUGAGCAGUUACAAUGAGUCACGCAAUCUUGUGACCGGCCGGGCGCUUUUCCAAUCCGAGACACAGUUAAGAUCUCGAACAGAACCUGGACUUGUUUGAAGAGGAGGUAACAACAGGACCUGGACUCUCGGUGAUACCAGGCUUGCAUGAAAGGGGCUGUUGGAGAAAUGACUAUCACCCAGGUAAGCCAUGCUUCCUUCAGGGAAUGCGUGGCCAGUCUUUUUAAAGCAAGGCUGACCGUGACAUUGGCUCGCCCGGUUAUCAGGUCUAUGGACAAGGAAAUUUUAUUACGAAAUCAUGUCAGACUUUAAAAGCCAGGGCCAUUUCUACCCUUGACUACAUGACAACUGUGGAUUUCAGAAGAAAGUGCUCCUGGAAAGCUUGUGGAAAUCAGGUGUCAUGACGAUUGAACACUGAAAAUAAAAAUGGGGACUUAAAGCAAAGUUUCUUUUUAUUUUCCACCAGAUGUAUUUUUACUGGUGAUGCUGGACAUCUGUGUGGGACAUCUGUGGGCCAGCGCUGGACGCCCCCACUCUGUAUCUAGGGACGUCACGACUGUACCGGGACUGGGGACUGUGGGAUUUCCAGCCGCGUCCUGUUGGCUUGAACCCAUUCAGCAGGCAGUGCCGUCCUGGGAACCCAAGAACCCUCCUCUCUCUGCCUUGCUGUAAUCUCCUGUGCUUUAUAAUCAAAGCUGUCUUUACAAACACAUUCCUCAAAGUUAGUUUGGAACAUACUUAUUUUUAAAAAUACAAGAAGCCUCUUGGGAGAAAAACAUCAGAUGAGUGCAUUCCUCACCAAAACUCAUAACUCUUUUCUUCCUCGACUGGAUCUUCACUAGGACUUUACAAAAAUGGAAGUAGGCUCUCGAAAUAGGAUUUCGUUAUUUCCAUUCAUUUACAAUGUGUGAAUUGCCCUCUGUUGCCUCUUCUCCUACUUGGUAUCCCUUCUUCUGAAUUCUCGCGUAAUUUUAACAGUUGUACAAUUCUUUUUGUGGUUGGGAAAUCACAAAUUGUGAAACACGUUAAAUUGAGCACAUUUAAAAAUAACCUAGCCUUUUCUACUGUUUGGGUAGGCCGUUUGCUUGUUUGGGGUUGCUAAUGGGAAUAAGAGACCGUGUGUACUGUACCUCUGUAGCCAGCUUGUUUGCUCAGAGGAAAGAAUUCAUUGAAUAGCCAUAGACUACAUUCCAGAAUGUUGGCCAACCACUUUGCAAAAGUGAACUGUUGGGUCACAGCAAAACCUGCCACCACUCCUGGAAAAGCAGCUCCAAAUAUCUGCCCAGGGGACAGAGAUCUUGCUGCAGGAUCUCUGCACGGGCCCUCCUAACAAGUAUUUUUAUUAGUGGUUCUUUCCUCCUCUUGGUUUCCUAAGAAAAGGCUAUUGGAAUUUUUAGUCCCUGGAAAUCCACUCUUUUUUUCGAAGUUACCUCCUAUGUUUUGUAAUGAAUCCUCCCACUGAACUUGAUCUAAAUAUUGGGUUGCAGGCUCAGGGUGGGGGUAAUUUCAGAUAGUUCAGGGCCCAGAAGAGAUCUGUCGCGUUGUAGUUCUCUCCUUCCCUGCGAACAGACAACAGUCGGAUCGUUCUGCGUUUGGAAUCUGAGACUGUGGAGCCAUCGAGCUGGAGGCUAAGACCUAGCCUGGCAGGUGGGAUGCUGUGUGUCCCAGCUCCCUCUCCCUCAUCGAUCUCUUUUAUAAAUUGGACCACUCUACUUUGAUCUGCUUUUCUACAAGAGUUCCUUUUAACCCAAACCGAUAAAGAAAUGGGUUUGAAAGUUGGUUAGAAGGGAAUGUCAAAGCACAGCCCAGAAAGAGGCUGGUGUCGCCUCAGCUGGCCGUUCAGAACAGAAGUCGGGGCAGGGCUCAGGGACCGUGCUGGCCUGUCCGGGUCUCUGCUCCUCUGGAUUCUCAGAGUCUGACUUAUAAGGCCGCACAGAAUGGGUCAUGUCCUGGUGCCUGGUCCACCCAGGUGGAGUCUGGACUCCCUCCUGACCCUCUCUGCGCUACAUGGCCUUGCAGGUGGUAGAACUUUCUGGGAAUCAGACUUCCUGUGACCGGAACCGCCGAGGCAGCAGGUAAGCCCUCACUCCUCUCCUGCAGCGAAUGGUGACCUCUCUCUCCCAAACCCUAAGACUGAGGUCCCGAAGGCACGUUCUCUUCCCUUCCUGACCCCACCACUUUCCCUUUCCAAAGACCUAAAGAGCCUUUGCCUUCACAGCGACCCUCAGAUCUGUCCGUCCCCACGGCCACCGUCCUAUUUUUGGCCCUCCUUAUGUCAGGCCCAUCUGUACUUCCAACUUCCUCUUCCUUGGGCCACACGCCUCCCUCCAGUUCUCGUGAAUGCUUCACAUGACGGCCAGAUGGGUCCUCAAAUGCUGCUUCGAAAAUGUCACUUUUCUCACGAAAAUCUUUCCCACUUGUCUCAGGGUAUUCAAAUCCCACUGACACACUUCUCUAUUAUUUUACUCAAUGAAUAUCUGAGCACUGGGGUUUCACUGUUGAGCACGGUGGGCCAAGAGCAGCCCGAAGACAACAUUUCAAGUCAGCAAGCAAAGCUGUUUUCCGUAUAAGGGCAGACGAUGCUCUUCCUGGGCGCUUGAGCCAGAAGGUGUUCAGGGGCAGACGAGCCACCGUGCAGCCAGCCACCCUUCCCGCCAGCCAGAGAGCCGGAGCUGGGCGUCCCGGGCUAUACUCUAAGCGCUCGGGUUACACCAUGAGCUCUCACAAGCGUGUUAUUUUGGUCGGGGGGAGCUGAGGGGAAGAAUCCCUUCUGUGUUCGGUGCGUACGUCAGCCUCUGUAGGAGAUCUCUUAUGGGGAGCCGUCAAAUAAUAAAGAAAGUCAACAGAAAUGUCAUUUCUAGUAGCUUUUAACUAACCGUGCUGUCUUCGGAUAUCACAUGUGUGUGUGAAGACAGAGAAUUCUAACUCCCAUUUAAUUAAUCAUUUUUAAUUGUUUGGAUGAAAAGCAAAGGCCUGUCAAGGGCACGAGAACAAAUUCUGGGGGGGGGCCCGUGGAAGUCAGACUCUGAUGGUUGGGUGCCUGCAAUGUGACAGUCGUGGUCUCUGAAGGGCCUGGACCUCCUGCCUCGGAAGGAGGGGUCCCAGCCUCAGAGUCACUGGCCCGGCUCUUUCCUGCCCUCCUCCAGCCCGUGGGACAGGUGUGGACUGAAUUAUGUCCCCCCAAAAUGUGCGUGUUGCAGCCCUGAUUCCCACCAUGACUGUGUUUGGAGAUGGGCUCUCUAUGGAGGUAACUAAAGUCAAACAAGGUCAUCAGGGUGGGGCCCUGAUCCCAUAGCACUGGUGUCCUUGUCAGAAGAGGAAGAGACAAGCAGGGAGCUCUCUCUCCCUCCACCAUGUGAAGACACAGUGAGAAGGCGGCAGUCUACAAGUCAGGAAGACAGCUGUCCCCAGAACCUGGCCGUGCAGCCACCUUGAUCUUGGACUCCUGGCCUUCAGAGGAUUGGCAAAGAAAUAUUGGGAAUAUUCUGCACGCACCUCUGGCUAUUUUGAGAUCUGAGAGCUGUUUAUUUUCUCCUGGAACGAUCCAGAGUGUCACUUCUGCCCUUCAACUGGCACGUGGACAUAACAUAGAACGGCACGAGCCAAAUCCUACGAGAGGCGCACUUUAAUUGUCUUUGAAGGGAAGGUGUUUUACCGAUAGAAUUAAAAUCCCAUUAAAUUCUGUAGUACUUGACCAGGGUUUCAUCCUGCACCCUUCCUUUAAAAUCAUUUAAUCUCUUCUUAGAAAAAGAGGGGAAAAUACCGGUUGAACCAAAAAUGAUUUCUUUCUGCUCUCCUGGUGUUCUUUCUUCAUUCUGCAUGAAAUUAAUGUUGAAGAAAGGAGCUGACCUCUUCAGUUGCGGCCGCAUUAUUGAGUGCAAAAGCAAGAUUUUCAAUUAACAGCAAUAACCUGGACUUGAUCAGAAAAUAAAGCCGUUCCUGCUAAAGUGACCAGGGAUUAACACUUUUAAUUGUUCUCAUAGAGAGAGUGUGUAUGUCGUAAAAUAAUCCGAAAGCUCUUUCAUUUGCAUUUCUGGCCUAAAAUGACGGCGAGCUUCAUUUAACCUGCUUGAUGUAGUUUUGACUCAUGAGUUACCUUUCUAUUAAAUUAUAAAAAUGAUUUUUUGUUUGGACGACAUAUUAGGGAUCUUUUACUUAUUCAAAAGUAAUGUUUGGAAAUUUAUUAUCCAUGAUGUUAGUGGGUUUCUAUCUGAACUUUGCAAAUACAUUUUUUAAAACUGUUCUGACGUUAUUUCAUUAAAUUGCAACAUGUGGGUUUAAAGGCCACAUCGCAAGCUCCUUGGGCAGCCCCACCUCUCGGAUGCCUUCAGCUCGGGCUCCAGAAGCAAAGGAGAGAGAAGCAAUGAUUUAACCGUUUCAGCGAUUUUGGCCACCAUGUCUUUCCUCAGCAAGGCCAAACUGGCACUUGCAAAAUGGUCAAGAUUGUGGACUUACAAACGUUCUGCUUUGAUUGUUUCUUUAGUUAAUUGCUUGAAAAACUACUGUAUUGUCAACUUCGCUCUCUUGAAAUGACUCCGCACAUCUUCCUGCAGGUGGAAUUAUAUUCCGGUGCAAGUUACAGAGAGUACAAUUCAUAGAGAUGGUCACGAUUGACACUGUAUUCAGUUCACAUAAGAAUGAGGGCCAACAAGGAGGAUCUGGGGCUACAGCAGCAUCUUAGUAACAUCUCCAAAGACCUAGUAUCGUUCUUUGGUUUGUGAUCCAUCAUCUCUGCUUUGUACUUUUUAUUCUCAAGGUUCUAGGACGCUUGCUGCCAGGGCAGGCAGCUCCACGUUCAGGUUUAGAGAAAGGGCAGGAGAUUGUUGUUCAACAGGCAUAACAUUUCAGUUAUGUAAGAUAAGUGAGCUCCAGAGACCUGCUGCCUAACAUUGUCCCUGUAGUCAGCAAGACCACGUCGUGCACUGAAGAAUGUCAGAAGUAGAUCUCUGUUAAGUGUUCUUCUAACAACAAGAAAGAAAGAAAGAAAGAAAGAAAGAAAGAAAGAAAGAAGGAAAGAAAGACGGAAGGAAGGAAGGAGGGAAGGAAGGAAGGAGGGAAGGAAGGAAGGAGGGAAGGAAGGAAAGAAUGAACUGGGACACCAGGAAACUAUGGAGGUGAUAAGUAUAUCCAUUACCCUGAUGGUAAUCAAUUCUAUAAUUGAGUUAUCAAUUAUAAUUCAAUAAAGCUGUUAAAAAGAAAAGAAGAGACCAAGCCUUUCUCUUGAAGAAACUUUCUAUCUUUUUUUCCCCCUUUCUUUCUUUUUUUAAACAUAUUUGGAAAGUAUACUCCUCCCAUUCCUGGGAGAAAUCGACCUACACCUCAAAAUCCAGAACUUUGCCACAUGUCAGCGCCCCUGCGCAAAGGAGGCUUGGAAUCAGCUUUCCGAUCUCUAUAGUGGAGGAAGCAAAGGACGGUGACUUGAAUGGUUUUGGGGUAGCAAAUGCAGCUCUCUGCCGUAGUGCCUCUCAUGCUUGUGGUAGGAGAGACACAGCGGAAAGUCAAGUUGUGGGUUUAUCUCGUUUCUUGGUUGACUUCA